UGACGGAGGUAAGGGAUCUCCAGGGU
rnacentral:piRNA from 1 species